AUUGAACGCUGGCGGCAGGCUUAACACAUGCAAGUCGAACGAGUGGCGGACGGGUGAGUAAUGUAUGGGGAUCUGCCUGAUAGAGGGGGAUAACUACUGGAAACGGUCGCUAAUACCGCAUACUAUCGGAUGAACCCAUAUGGGAUUAGCUAGUGGGUGGGGUAAAGGCUCACCUAGGCGACGAUCUCUAGCUGGUCUGAGAGGAGGAUCAGCCACACUGGGACUGAGACACGGCCCAGACUCCUACGGGAGGCAGCAGUGGGGAAUAUUGCACAAUGGGCGCAAGCCUGAUACAGCCAUGCCGCGUGUAUGAAGAAGGCCUUAGGGUUGUAAAGUACUUUCAGCGGGGAGGCGUUACCCGCAGAAGAAGCACCGGCUAACUCCGUGCCAGCCGCCGCGGUAAUUC
rnacentral:rRNA from 1 species